GAUCUUCCUCUACUUCUAACAGAAACUACGGUUGCGGAUAGAGGAUCCACCGCGAAGAAAGCAUAUGGUGUACCUUGGAGGAGCAGUCCUUGCAGGAAUUAUGAAGGAUGCACCGGAGUUUUGGAUUAGCAGAGAAGAUUACCUGGAAGAGGGAAUUGCAUGUCUAAGCAAGUGUGGCCAAGCAUGAAUUUUUGGAUAGGAGAGAGUGUUAGCAUUUAAGUCUUCCAAGAGUUAGGUGGCUAUGCAGUGAUCUAUUUUUGUGAUAAUUCUAGCGAAAGUUUCGCUAUGCCAUAUGUAUCGCCCAAAAAAAAAAAUCUCACCAUGCCAUACCCCUAUCGCUAGGUAUAGGGAAAAAAUUAUGUAUUUUAAUGCUUCCCGCAUAUCUUUAUAUUGGUGGAGCAGAUGUCUAUCAUGUAUAUCAUUGUAACAAUUUUUGUGCUUGAAUUUUCCUUUUAUCCUAUUUGGUCAUAUAUAAUACAGGGAAAUAAAUGAACUUAUAGUUUUGGAGUUUCUAACCA